CCUACGGGAGGCAGCAGCAAGGAAUAUUGUGCAAUGGGCGAAAGCCCCUCACAGCGACGCCGCGUGGGGGAUGAAGGCCUUCGGGUAAUAAACCCCUUUUCUCAGGUAAGAAUAAUGACGGUACCUCAGGACCC
rnacentral:rRNA from 1 species